rnacentral:rRNA from 1 species
UGAGCAACCUGCCUCUGGCUUCGGGAUAACCUUCGGAAACGGGGCUAAUACCGGAUGUGCACCGCGUCCUGCAUGGGGUGCGGUGGAAAGUUUUUCGGCCAGGGAUGGGCUCGCGGCCUAUCAGCUUGUUGGUGGGGUGAUGGCCUACCAAGGCGACGACGGGUAGCCGGCCUGAGAGGGCGUACGGCCACACGUGGGACUGAGACACGGCCCAGACUCCGUACGGGAGGCA